AGUGGCGGACGGGUGAGUAACACGUAGGCAACCUGCCCCCAAGAUCGGGAUAACAUUCGGAAACGAAUGCUAAGACCGGAUAAACAAUGUGCCCGCAUGGGCGGAUUGGGAAACACGGCGCAAGCUGUGGCUUGGGGAUGGGCCUGCGGCGCAUUAGCUAGUUGGUGGGGUAACGGCUCACCAAGGCGACGAUGCGUAGCCGACCUGAGAGGGUGAACGGCCACACUGGGACUGAGACACGGCCCAGACUCCUACGGGAGGCAGCAGUAGGGAAUCUUCCACAAUGGGCGAAAGCCUGAUGGAGCAACGCCGCGUGAGUGAGGAAGGCUUUCGGGUCGUAAAGCUCUGUUGCCAGGGAAGAAUAAGGGCCAGUUAACUGCUGGUCCGAUGACGGUACCUGAGAAGAAAGCCCCGGCUAACUACGUGCCAGCAGCCGCGGUAAUACGUAGGGGGCAAGCGUUGUCCGGAAUUAUUGGGCGUAAAGCGCGCGCAGGCGGUUCUUUAAGUCUGGUGUCUAAGUGCGGGGCUCAACCCCGUGAUGCACUGGAAACUGGGGAACUUGAGUGCAGAAGAGGAGAGCGGAAUUCCACGUGUAGCGGUGAAAUGCGUAGAGAUGUGGAGGAACACCAGUGGCGAAGGCGGCUCUCUGGACUGUAACUGACGCUGAGGCGCGAAAGCGUGGGGAGCAAACA
rnacentral:rRNA from 1 species